UAAUACGGAGGAUCCAAGCGUUGUCCGGAUUUAUUGGGUUUAAAGGGUGCGUAGGCGGAUUACUAAGUCAGAGGUGAAAGUUUGCAGCUUAACUGUAAAAUUGCCUUUGAAACUGGUAGUCUUGAGUAUAGUUGAGGUGGGCGGAAUGUGUCAUGUAGCGGUGAAAUGCUUAGAUAUGAUACAGAACACCGAUUGCGAAGGCAGCUCACUAAACUGUAACUGACGCUGAGGCACGAAAGCGUGGGGAGCAAACAGG
rnacentral:rRNA from 1 species